rfam:TPA: Bos taurus chromosome 5, whole genome shotgun sequence.
UUCCUGAUAGCUCAGUUGGUAAAGAAUCCGCCUGCAAUGCAGGAGACCCCGGGUUCAUUCCUGGGUCAGGAAG